rnacentral:rRNA from 1 species
CCCUUAGAUGUUCUGGGCCGCACGCGCGCUACACUGAUGCAUUCAACGAGCCUAUCCUUGACCGACAGGUCCGGGUAAUCUUUGAAUCUGCAUCGUGACGGGGAUAGAUUAUUGCAAUUAUUAAUCUUCAACGAGGAAUGCCUAGUAGGCGCAAGUCAUCAGCUUGCGUCGAUUACGUCCCUGCCCUUUGUACACACCGCCCGUCGCUACUACCGAUUGAAUGGUUCAGUGAGAUAAUCGGACAGAAAACUUGGCAACUGGCAACAGUUGACGUGCAUUUUUGGAAGACGAUCAAACUUGGUCAUUUAGAGGAAGUAAAAGUCGUAACA